UUUGGGGUGGGGCUGCAGAUGAACGUCCCGCGAUUCCCAGGAAGGCUUCUCUGGGAGCAGCUCAGAGGAGCCUUCUCACCGGCUGUAAUACCCGUCGAUCUGAGCCAGAUAGCCACUGAAGAAAACACCAUGAAAGAUACUGACAUCAGGAGACUAUUGUAUGCCCAUCUCCUGUGCAUAUUUUCAGUUAUCCUAAGCACCUUCAUUCCAUCACUCUUCUUGGAGGACUUCUCAGUAUUGGAAACCCACUUGACAUGGCUGUGCAUCUGUUCUGUUUCUGUAACUGCCGUCAAUCUAGUAUUCUAUUUGGUAGUGAAGCCAAAUCCACCCUCUAGAAGAAGCUCAUUAUCACACAAGGUAGGCAGAUUUUUGAAGUGCUGCAUCUACUUUCUUAUGUCCUGUUUCUGCUUUCAUGUAAUAUUUGUUCUAUAUGGAGCGCCGCUAAUAGAGUUGGCACUGGAAACAUUUUUAUUUGCAGUUAUUUUGUCUACUUUUACUACUGUGCCUUGUCUGUGCUUGUUAGGACCAAACAUCAAAGCAUGGCUGAGAGUUUUCAGUAGAAAUGGAGUUACGUCUAUUUGGGAGAACAGCCUCCAGAUCACUACAAUUUCUAGUUUCGUGGGAUCGUGGCUCGGAGCGUUUCCUAUUCCACUGGACUGGGAAAGACCAUGGCAGAAAACCUACAAAAAACCCUAAUUCUGGACUUGACUGCCACUAUCUCCUGGAGCCGUGGUGACUCAGUGGUUAAGGACUUGGCUGCUAACCAAAAGAAGCACAGCCAGAAUGCUCAUUAGAAGCAAGGACAUAUUAUCAGGAGGUGCCAGUCCCUGGAAAAGGACAUCAUGCGUGGGAAAAUAGAGGGUCAGCAAAAUCAGCGAAACAGAGGAAGACCCUCAACGCGAUGGAUUGACACAGUGGCUGCGACAACAGGUUCAGACACAGCACCGAUUGUGAGGAUGGCGCAGCACCGGGCAGUGUUUCACUCUGUUGUACAUAAGGUUGCUGUGAGUCGGAAUCGACCGGGUGGCACCUAACAACAACAGUGACACCAUUUUAGAUAGACCAGUAUACAAAAUACUAAUUUGUAUGAAUAUGAUUUAUGGGUUUCAAGCCUGGCCCAAAAAAGAAAGAAAAAAGUGUUAACUACAGAGAAGACGGUUUUGGAUUUGAAAGGCAGGUUCCUUGGGGGGCGAUCAUGUUGCUGGUGUGCCGCUAGCAGACCUUUCAGGUGAGGGCGAAUAGCGCUGGCAGCUUAACCCAUUUACCUGAAUCGUCGUCAGGACCCUGCAGUGUCACUUUGACUGCAAGUCCCAGACCGGAGACUGAGCGCCUCUCCGUGGGUAACUCAGGAUUCCUCAGUCUGUGCUGCUAGUCAUAGGACAGUGGGUCAGAGUAUAGUUGGACCAAUGUAGAGUUACAGCUAGAAAAAUUUAUCCAGACCAAUAGAUGCAACUGCCCAUGUGUUCCUAUAUCAGAAAAUAACAAGCAUGUUAAAAAGUAGCUUGUGAGAAGUUGAGAACUAACUCCCUAGGUUUUAUCUCCUUUAUCUGGAGAGAGCCAGUAAUCCUAAUGGUUGUGAGUUGUUUUAAGUGUUUCUGGGUAUUCUGAUCUGUAGAGACAUCAUUUUCCCUGUGAUCUCUAUGAUGGCAUAUAUGUCCUUGCAAAUUACAAGUAAUUUUCUAUAUUUUAUAGGACACAUAUUUUUAAGAAUUUAUGAUACUAAAAUUUGUCCAAAAUCAGUUCAUCUUAUUUUGCAGCUUAACUGCUUGGUAUAGAGCAGUGCUAGUACAGUUUUUUGAAUAAACGAAUGAAUGGAAUAAUUCAUUUCAGACUUUUUAAAUUACAUAAAUGUCUACCACUGGCUAGUUUAACACCAGUAUCUACACUUAAUUUGCUUUGUUAAAUUUUAUGAGAAAUGACGGCUAGAAUCAGGCAAUUUCUCUUCUACUUCUGAAGUGAGACUACAGAUGGGUAACAUAAUGCCAGUAUGUUGUGUAACCGCUGGGCUUUUUCUUUUCUAAACAUUACAGUCCCGCGACGUUUUAUGUGAGGAACAGUGUGUAUUCAAGAUGACUACACUGUGAGUAAGAGCACAGGAUAACAUUGCUCACAGGCUGUUUUAUUUGUUCCCCACUGCUGCUUCUAAUUGGUACCUAGCAGUGUCACUUACUUAAGAAAUACUUAGUGUUAUAUAUAGAAGCUUAAUUUUUUUAAGUUAAAAUAUGUAAUGUAUAAAAUAGUACUGGUAUGUGGUACUUUACAGCUUUCGUGGCAAAUUUCAAAAUAUUACUUCAUCUGAUACAUCAACCCUAUGUUCUUUUGAGUACAAUAGGUACCAUUGGCCCUGCUUUACAGAUUAAGAAACUGAGGCUCAGAUGUUAAGUGACCUGGCCAGGGUCAGAUGGCCAUGGGUUGAACUGGCCCAGCAACUCAGAUCAUUCUAACUCCACUGUCCCAUGCUGCUUCCAAGGAAAGCUAAGUAAAGCUCACAAAAAAACAUGGAGCAUUUUAGAAAGUAGCUUAAUAUUUUUGUAUAAUUACUUUUAAACUUUUUGAACUGAUUUCAAAAAAUUAUUAUCCUUAUCUAAUUCCAAAUAAACGAUCAUGGUUAUAGGAAACCUCCAGUAUCUAGUGAACUGCCACAGCCAGUACUGAUAUGCCAAAGUAGCUACUAUGUGAAGUAUCAAAAACUUGUGGAGAUAAUUUUGAUGACGCUACCAAAAAAAAAAAUAAAACCCAAACCUGUUGCCGUCGAGUCGAUUCCAACUCAUAGUGACCCUUUAGGACAGAGUAGAACUGCCCCAUACAGUUUCCAAGGAGCGGCAGGUGGAUUCGAACUGCCGACCUUUUGGUUAGCAGCCGUAGCAGUUAACCACUGUGCCACCAGGGUUUCCAUCUAUUUGCAUUUAAUGUAUAUUAAAGGAACCUAAAGAAUAGUAUGCAUAUUAUGAUCAAGUAAAAUAUAUUUAAAUUAUAUUUCUCUCAACUCACAUAACAACAAAUAGCAUCUACAUCGUUGAAAAUGAUCCUUAAAAUUCUGAAACCCAAGACAUCAAAGUCAAUUGGCAUAAUAAAAUCUAUUAAGAAAACAUUCUGCAUCCCACUUUGGAGAGUGGCGUCUGGAGUCUUAAACGCUAGCAAGCAGCCAUCUAAGAUGCGUCAAUUGGUCUCAACCCACUUGGAGCAAAGGAGAAUGAAGAACACCAAAGACACAAGGUAUGGCCCAUCUCCUGCACGCUCGGAGCGACCUUUGGCUAUGUGGCUGGCCUUGCUGUCUCACCACUCUGGAUAUACUGGAAUAGAAAGCAACUUACAUACAAGAA